UCCCAACACCAAACCAUGUCCCUUAGUGCUAUGUCCAUCUAUCUCUUUAAUACCUCCAGGUAUGGGAGCUCCACCACUUCCCUGGGCAGCCCAACCCUGUGCUUGACCACCCCGUUAGGAAAGCACCCUAUGAAUGCUAUGCUCAUUAAGGCUGAGUUACAGCCCCCCUAUCAGUUCUGGGUGGGUUUCAUAUAAUCUGGGGGCUGCUUGUGCCCCCACGUCCUGCUUCAUGGUGCCUUGAAGUGGGAGGUAGGUAAGUAAAGAUCUCUCCUAUUUUGGGGCGGAUCCUCUGAGCUAUCUGCAGCCUAGCACCUCAGGAGCCUCCCGGCUCCCUGAAUUAGUAUUUCCAUGAGCUGACAAGGAAGGGGAUUGCUCUUAAGAGAAUUUUUAGUUCAGCUGAGAAGACUUAAGCCAGAUUGGCACAGACUGCCUGACCCCACUCUGUUCCUGUUUAAAGGAUUGCCCUUACUCCAAAAUACAUUAGGGAAAAGCCUUCCUUCUCCUGGCCUUCUACUAAAAAAAAAAAAAAAAACCACAAAAACAGCCAUAGCAUGCAGAAGAUUUGGGCUCGUUUCACUGUAUUUGGCCUCAAACUAGAAAAGGAAAGUAAUUUGCACCAGACAGCCUGUGGGAAGCUGCAGGCUCUGGAGUGGGGAGGGCCCAAAGCAUUAAUGAAGAGCCAUUAAUAUUGAAAAGCAUUUAAUCUGCAAUUAUCCUAAGACCCAUGGAGCAACUAUCAGAGAGUUAAACAAAUAUGGUGAAGCUGAAGAAGAUUACGAAAGCUCCUGAUAGAGAUUAAUGACCCAAGCUUAACUAUAAAAAGCUACUAUGCCUGUUUCUUAAUAAGUGUUCCCUAGGCUUUGCCUUUGCUGUGAUGAAGGGGAAAAAUUACAGGGUUGUUUGGGGAUGGCUGUAGCAAGUGGAGUGUGGCUUUUGCUGGGAGAACAGCAUGAGCUGAGUGCCCUUAAUGAAAUGGAGGAGGAAACCAGUCACCUGAGAAAUACUUACAGAAGGAUGCUGCGUGAGUUAAAGCCUCAGCCUUAAAUCAGGCUGAAGGGGGUGAUGCAGGAGGGAAAGCAUCUGGGUGAGAAUUUCGGGGGCAGUUGGGGACCCAAGGAGUAAGUGUUCAUCAGGGCAGGCUUACUAGAGCCCCAGGUAAGCCUUAGUGAGGCAUAAAUCCACCUGCUGAUGUACUCACUCAAGAGGGAAGGGUGAGUGUGUGGGGAUGAUAACUUAUUUAACCCAAGUGAGCACAGCCCACAUGGGAGCCUAUUUGCAGGAAGGAGGAUGGUUCCAUCUUGUGCCAAGCCUGGUGGGCAGAAAGGCUGGGUUCUCUUUGCCUCUCCAUCAGCGUGUCCCUCUGGCCUUAGCAAGGCUGGUUGGUUGUCCCCUUGUAGCUCUUGUGUCUCUUGCCCAAAUGACGUUCCUUGGGCACUUGGAGGACUGAGCAUGGAAAUGAGCUUCUGGAGGAAGGGGAAGAUGCUGCAGUGGAAGGUUAAAAAAAAAUAAAUAAGCAAUGUUAGUUGAAAGUGAAAUCUCAGCAUGUGUCUGUGCUGGAUUCCCAUGUCUGCAUCUAGAGGGCAGGGCAGGUAUGUGUUGGAUGAUCUGGGUCUCUGUGUCCUCUGUGAUCCCAGUUAGAGCUCUGCCUCUUUAUCUGGGUAUUCUUCCUCUAGAAACAGAGGUUUUUGCAAGAGAUAAAGACCUGUUGCUGUGGUGCUUGCCUGAGUCUCCUGGAAGACCAUACUCCCCAUGUGCUGCAAUGAGAACUCCCAGAUCCUGCACAAAACUCUACAAUUUGGGCUGGUUUCUGCUGGUUUCUGGCAGAGGAAACAAAGACUCACCAGAGUCUUCAAGAAAUCAGCCUGGAAAUCAGUACCAGGCAAAUGCUGAGCAUUAUACAUGUUUGUCACCAUUUGUCUAUUGUGAGACAAAAAUGAUUAUGGGCUGUCAUCAUUCAGCCUGGCUAUGCGCUGGCUGUCCUCCAGCUCACAUUUUUUUGGCUAGUCUCACAGUUUUUGAGCAUUGGAGACUAUCUAAGCUUCCCUCACAAGGAACAAGCGUGCCUGUUUUAUAAUGAUGCUAGUUAAUGAAUAUUUAUCUCACCAUUUUAUUGUGAAACUUUGCCAUGCGACGUGUUUCUUUUUUAAAACUUCCCAGCUCCGGGACUUACAGGAUCUUACGCAAGUUGCAGCUUUUUCUUUUAAGGAAUAUUUUUAAUGUGGUUGCAGAGGGAGAGAAUGGAGAACAAAAUACUGAGAGCAGGAUGUCUUCUGGCUUGAAACCCAGAGGCAAAGCACAGUUUGCUUUUGUUUGCCUGGAAAAGUAGUGGGGGCCUGUGGGAUGGGUAGGCUCAGCGCAAGGGGCAUGCAAGGCAGGAAUGGGAAAAGUCAUUGCCCCCAUCCUGGAGGGGAGGUGAGGGGCUGCAACCCCUGUGCAUCUCUGGGCCACGGCCUCAGCAGGAUGGAGCCAUCAGAGAAGCAGCAUGAGGACGUGGUGGCUUUCAUGCUGCGGGGCAAAAAGUGCCCCCCAAAGAAGAACGGUGUCACCGGCUGGAUUCUGAAGAACCUCCGGAAGACCUUCCAGAGGCCCACCUCCCUGCAGCUCUCUUCUCCCAUGGCUCUUUCUCAGCGUUGCACAGCCUCUUGUCCAAACCUGAUAAUAAGUAGAAGUGAGGCACAUGAAGAGAAGCAGGGGGAUGUGGUGCCUGUUGCCCUACAGCCUGGUGGGACGCACCGCUCCUUGUCGCUAGCAUCAGCAGGAGAUGGCUGCACCAACAACACAGCACUCCAGGGCUGGUGGAGCAGUCUGCAGCUCCAGGUGGCAUCCCGUUCUUGUGCCCUCAGACCCAGUCUCACAUCUGCUUCUCCCCUGCCUUGUUCAGCAGACUCCCCUUCCAAGGCCAGGCUCUCUAGCUGCUUCUCCCUCUUCUCACCACCAUCACAGAGCUCUGAGCCUGAUUACAGCCCGCUGCCUUGUGCUGGCUCCAAGAAAUCUUGCAAGGGGAGCUGGAAGAAGAACUCUCAUCAUGAAGAGCCCCCUGGUCCCAAACAAGAAGAGUCUGCACAUUUCCCCUUCACAGGACCCAUAAUUGCUCAGAUAACUGACUACAUCUACCUGGGGAACCUCAAUGCGGCCUACAGUGGCCGGGCACUGUGCACAAAUGGCAUUGACAACAUCAUUGACAUGAGCAGCCUGCCCAGUGACCACAGCCUGAGCAUCAUCCCCUGCACCUGUGGACGGGGAGGAUUCAAGCACAACUGGUCACGCCUCAGGGUUGACAUACAGGCUUUCCUGCAUGGAAAUCUUCAUGAAAUAAGGCAGCCAUGCUUCCUGGUCAUCAACGAGUGCAUCGAAGCCUUGAUGGAGAAAGGAAAGCGUGUUCUCAUUCACUGCAGGGAUGGUUACUCCUUAGGCCCUACCUGUGUCAUCCAGUACCUGAUGGUCAAGCACAGCAUGAGACUGAUGUCAGCCUAUGAAUUUGUGAGAGCACGGUACCCACUGAAAAUCCAAGAGUGCCAUCAGGACCUACUGGUGGGUUUGGAGAUGUCCCUGCAGCCUGGUGGUGUCAACGUAGCAUGCCUGAAGCACUCCCUGACAAGGAAGAUGGCAUGGAGCUAAACAGGCAAGUGGCUGAAGAAAAAAAGCCAAAAGGAAAAUAGCCUUAACUCCAUCUCAUGGCCAAAUGAAACCGUCAGUGUGGGGUAUGUAGGACAGUGCUGACAAGAUGCAAAGGUGAUGGCCUUUCUUUGCAGCAGUUCCUAGAGGCUGGUACUGGCAGAAGUAGAGCAUGGGGAGCUCUUAGGGACACUCUAGAGGGAUGGGGAAUAAGACUCAUUGAAGAAGAGACUGAAAGUUUCAAUCCUAAUGUAAGGAAGUAUCCUGUGCUCCAGGUUGAAGAAGACUUUUCCAGGGAACUUUUGUUCCCAAGGGUGCAAGCAUGUACCACCCUCAUGUCGGGGGGUUAGAACUGCAUGAUCUUUUAAGAUCCCUUCCAACCCAAGCCAUUCUGUGACUCUGUGCCUCAGUCUCAUGUUCUUUUUGGGAAAGAGGAGUCAGCCACUGGAUUGCUCAGAUGUUCUGCCUGAACUUUUACUGUGAGCACAGAUGCUGUUGGGCUGCUGGGUUUGAUUUUUGCCAACGGUACCUUCCUUGGAAAUUAUACAUAGUCAUCUGGCGUCAUGUUGGACUAGUCACUGCGUAGUCCCUGUCCUCUUGAUGCUAGCAGGAUGUUGAGGAGAAGACCAGCAGUGUAAAGGUGGGGAGAUGGCUAUGAGAGGCAGCUUGUGUGAAUCCGUCAGCCUAAUGCUUCCAUCAGUGUGGUUGUUCCCUGGAGGAACCUGGUCCAGAAGUAUCACACUUGAGUGUCUCUACAACACAGUGCAGAAUCUCCUGUAGGUGCUAGGCUUUCCUCCUUGGCAGUUUUGCAGGCUCAUGGAAGUGCCCCGAGAUUGGUCGCUCAGGUCCCUGGUGCAUUGCUGUAGCGUGAGGGGAAGGGAGCAAGGGAAGGGAGCUAGUCAUCUACUCCAUGGGAAAGGUACUCAAACUUGAACGCUGUGUCCGCUCCAGAUUCCCAUGCAAGAAUCAUGUUCAUAUUUCAUGUUCACAGAGCUGAGGCAGCUGUUAACAGCCUUCUCUGAAGGACUUGCCUGGAGCUUCCUUAUGUUCUCCUUGGGUUUUUCUGCAAGGAAUUUGUUCAUUUGUCACUCAAGCACUUGCAUUACUUCUCUUGGAAACCUCUGUUUUUCUUAAUGUUAACUAUUGCUUUGUGGGGUUUUUUUCUUUUUUCUUUUUUCUUCCUGCUGCUCACUGGGCUUCUUCCUCAUUCUAGAUCUGGGUCCCCUUUCUUUUUUUGGAGGACUGCUGCCCCAUGGCUUGACCUCUCUGCAAGGCAGCUCCAGAGAAAUCUCUUUGCAGACUGAGAGAUUCAGCAUUUCACUCACCCCGUUACCACAUCUCACCCUCUAGGACCCCUAUAUCUUACAAACACAUCUGUUAACCAAAAUUUGGUUCAUGGGACUUUUCUUUGUGUUCCUUCAUCACUGGCCUGAAGCAAUGAAGUGAAAGGAGAGCUGCUAUCUUGGGGACUGGUGGGACAGCAGUGUGUGUUGCUCUGUAGAGAGCUGGAGAAAAUGGCUGGAGAAACUUUGGAAAGGGUAAUAAAGAGUUGGUUUAACUUUAGAGCCAAACAUAGCUUAUGGAUUUGGUUCUGAAAUAAAAAUGAAGUGGCUGAACUUCUCAGGGGCUGAAUGCUGCUCCUGGCUGCUGAAGGUGGUUGCUGUCUGUUUCCAGAUGCACUUACUUUAGUCUCUAUUCUUUAUUUUUCUGAGAAACUGGCUUGAACUGGGAGAGGCAGGCAACUCAGGAGGAUCUGCAGGGUGCUAUCUGUCAUCUACAGGCCAUGAAGUGACACCAAGAGUCCUGAUGUAGCAGGGUUGUGGUGAUUUCACUACCCAAACCAUCUAGCCGUCAACAUUUCAGCAUGGCUAAUCCUGAGCAGACCCAGCCUUGCCCACACAGGACACCAGUCCCAUCUCAAGCACUUAGUCUUCCUUUACAGUGUCUGCAACGCUGCGUGCACAAUGCUACAGGAAGUCUGCAGCAGCAUGUUUGCUGCUAUCUGUAACAUCCAAGAGGAAAAUUUGUCGCAGCCACAUCUGAAUCAGCUUAAAACCCUUUGGCUGGCAGAGGAGGGAGUGCCUGGGCUGUGGGAGGAGGACAAGAGCUGUUUGGGCUCUUGUCUCCAUGGGAUCCCCUACACACACAUGCUACAUCUGCUGUGGAUAGGGCUGGUGAAUAUUUCCAGUGCCAUUUCCAUCUGCCUGUCACUUGUGCCAUAGGUUCACAAACAUCUAAAGCAAGAUGUCUGA